GAAAUGCGAUAAGUAAUGUGAAUUGCAGAAUUCAGUGAAUCAUCGAAUCUUUGAACGCACAUUGCGCCCGCCAGUAUUCUGGCGGGCAUGCCUGUCCGAGCGUCAUUUCAACCAUCAAGCCCCCGGGCUUGUGUUGGGGACCUGCGGCUGCCCGCAGGCCCUGAAAACCAGUGGCGGGCUCGCUGUCACACCGAGCGUAGUAGCAAUCACCUCGCUCAGUGCGUGCUGCGGGUUCCGGCCGUUAAACAGCCUUACAAAACCCAAGGUUGACCUCGGAUCAGGUAGGAAGACCCGCUGAACUUAAGC
rnacentral:misc_RNA from 1 species